rnacentral:sRNA from 1 species
AAAGAAUAAUAAUGAACUAAACACUGGUAAUUUGUAAGAAAUCUUAGUCUUUUGAAGAAAAAUAGAUAACAAAGGGCCAAAAAAAUCCAUGCUGUUAUAAACAGAGAAAGAGAUAGAAGAAAUGAGUGUAUUAUUCCAUUGAGAUAAAGGGUUCUUUAUAUAGGAGUACAAGGAAAGGGUAAAACCCUAGAAACAUCUAGAUGAUGGGCUUAGAUGAUGGGCCUUAUAAUGGGCAUCCAUCUUUAUUCAUAACACUCCCCCUGAUGACCAUUAUAGUAUCAUAACUCGUAAAGUAUUUGAAAUGCUGCCUCAUUAAAAACCUUACCAGGAAAACCCAAUGGGAAAAACCAUGGUUAAGGGAAAAAGAGUGCAACAUACAAUUACUCCCCCUUAUGAGUAUAUUCGUCGAGAUCUUUGAGACGGCGUAAUCCGAUACGAUAGACUAACUUCUUGAAAGUAGCAGUAGGUAGCGCCUUGGUGAAUAAGUCAGCCAGAUUAUCAUUCGAACGGAUCUGUAGAACUCGUACAUCGCCGCUCUUUUGUAGAUCGUGUGUGUAGAAGAAUUUUGGUAGGAUGUGCUUUGUUCUAUCGCCUUUGAUGUAUCCGUCUUUGAGUUGUGCGAUGCAUGCUGCAUUGUCUUCGUACAUAAUUGUUGGAGUCUUUUUCCCUGGAUAUAUACCACAGUCUUCUUGUAUAUGGUGAACUAUGGAUCUUAGCCAUACACACUUGCGGCUAGCUUCAUGAAUUGGUAAAAUCUCUGCAUGAUUAGAAGAUGUGGCAGAGAAUAAACAGUAUUUGAGAAUAAGUCUGCCAAAUCUUCUCUUAAACAAAUUUCUGGAUAAAGUACAACGCCAUUCUUCUGCUCAUGAAUCUUUUAGAUGAUUCAUCUUGACCAUCUUAUUUAUUUCUCUAAAUAUCAUUAGUGUAUAAUAUUCAUUUGGAUGAUUGAUAGAAUUUCUUAAUAUUCAUCAAGUGUAUUAUUUGCGUGUUCUUUAAUGUCUCGUUAAAAACCUUGUCAUAGAAAAAUCAUGUGGGAUAAAAACUAUGAUAAGGAAAAAGGGUACAUCCACGUAUAUCAUUCAAUCUCCCCCUCGGAAACAUCUUCUUCAGGAGAUGAUUUUCAAUCAAAUACAAUAUCUCGUUGGAAUUAAUAACCAUAAUCUUAAUGAUCAAAAUUAUAUGGUUUUCAUAUAGACUUAUAAAUAUCAUUAUCUAGUGAUAUUUUAUCAUACAUUAUUGUCAUCGUAUUACUUAUGAUAACUCUAUAGGAGUUUUAAUGAUUUUCAAAACAAAUAUUAGUUUGAUCAAUAUAUUUUGACAAACUCAACAUAAAUAUACAUUUAUAUGAUUAUAUGCCAUGUUACAUAUUUCUUUUUAUUCGAUCGAGUAGAGUUUUAGAGAACAUAAUUCUCAUAUAAUUAAUCCUUCAGAGAUUAUAUCUUUCAAGAAUUUCAUAUAAAUGUCAUAUCCAGUGUUCCAUCUCUUAUUGCCAGACUUUAGACUUAAAAAAAAAAUAUUACAUCCACCACAAGAGAAUAUAUCUCUUCAUAAUACAUUUCUUAUCUUUGUGAAAAUCUCAUUAAUUUCACUAUUCUUUCACAUAAAGACUCAUUUAUUUUCCACUGGUUUUACACAUCAUGUGCAUAGACUACUAGUCCAAAUAUUUCUACUAGAGAUUAUAAUUAUAUGUCUAUUUCUUCUUUUCCAUUUUUGGCUAAUCAUUACUUUGUGUACACUUUUCAAUAGACUUUCUUUCAUGAUCCUCCUUUUUGUCUAUAAUAUCAACUGCUCAUAGCAUGCAAAUAUAUUACGACGUCGAUUUGCUUUUGAUUCCAUUAUAUUUUGACAUGACAUAGCUAGCUAGAUCUCUUCAUUGUCAAGUACUUGAAUGUUUUAUUUGUCAUGUUUAUGUCUCUUUUAGAGAUCAUUCACUCUCUUCAAGAGAUCAUCAAAAUAUUUAUUUCCUCAAUUUGGUCAUUUUUAAUUUUGUGCUCCUUCACUUUUACGAGGAUAUUUAUAUUUGGAACCAAGGUCUAUUACGCUUCAUGCGAUCUUAAGACUCAAUAGCAGUUUGAAAUUGGUCCUUACAGGACAUUCAUUAUAUUCUGGAGCAUUUAAUUUACAACUGGUAUAAGUGACUUCAUCACUUUAUUUGGGUCAGCAAAUGCGUCUGGCAAUUACAAUGCUAAAUAGUAAAUUCUGUAAUUGAAGUGACUUCAUCACUUUAUUUGUGUAUUAAAGUUAAUAAUUUU